AUACUUAAUGAUAUUUUAAGCAAUAAUUAGCGACGUUUAAAGUGUCGGCAAAAAUAAUUCCGACGCUUGUAAAAACAUCGAGUAAAGAAUCGUUAAAUAAACAUAUCGGGAUAAAUAUACUGACACUUUAAUUAAUAUAGCGUCAAAAAAUUUUAAUCAAAUAUUUAAUAAAAAUAUAUUUAUUAGCGACACUUAAUUAUAGUGUCGACACAUGCCAAAUAUUGAAGACACUAGAAUAAAGCAUUGCAUAAAAAGCGUCGUCUAAAGCAUAUUUUAUUAUAGUGUAAGUUUCCUAAAAAGCGUUAAGUUUAUGUAUUAUUCCUGUUUAUUUUUAUUUACAUA
rnacentral:lncRNA from 1 species